ensembl:lncRNA
CUCUUGUUGGAAGUUCCUCCCUUGUGGAGUUUUCCUUAUGUGCCUAGAUCUUUGGAGGAGAGAUUGGAAUGCAAGGACAGAUUGGAAUGCAAGAUCUAAUUUUCUCCUAUUUUGUUUCCCAUGCAGCCACUUAUGGAGCUGAGAGCAAGGGAGACUACCUGGAAAACAAAUGAGAAUGUUCAGAGAGAAUUGACAAUUGGGAGAGGAAAAGAAGGGGCCAAAACAACACUUCCUACUGUCCCCAGCCCCUUCCUUGAGAUAAAGCAAUCAUUAGGAUGCAGUGGGGCUGUGGAGCAGGAGAAGCAGGAGCUCCCUGAGGUUUUCUUAAAGCCAUAUGGGUGAGUGAACCAAUACGCAGAAGUUACAGCUGGGAGUUGCUUCUGGUCUUUUGUUUUAAAAACAAACACUUUCACCUGGGAACCUUUCUCUACCUAAUCAUUUCUUAUGCUCUUUUGCAG